rnacentral:rRNA from 1 species
UACGUAGGGGGCUAGCGUUGUCCGGAAUCAUUGGGCGUAAAGAGCGUGUAGGCGGUCCGGUAAGUCCGCUGUGAAAGUCGGGGGCUCAACCCUCGAAUGCCGGUGGAUACUGUCGGGCUAGAGUACGGAAGAGGCGAGUGGAAUUCCUGGUGUAGCGGUGAAAUGCGCAGAUAUCAGGAAGAACACCCGUGGCUAAGGCGGUUCUCUAGUACGGUACUGACGCUGAGACGCGAAAGCGUGGGGAGCGAACAGG